rnacentral:lncRNA from 1 species
CUUAAAGCUAAAUUAAGUAACAUUUGCAAAACAUUGUCAUAAAGCUGCAUUUGCACUCAUAAUACGGAAUUUCUACAGCCGUUGGCAAAAUUGCUCUGCAUCUUGGUAUAACAAUAAACAUAGAUUAAAGAGGCUAAUUUCCUACUUAUUUUUGUUAAAAAAUAUAAUAAUAAUAAAAUACAGAAAAUAGCACUAAGUAUUGAACUUUCCUAUUUGAGCCUAUUAUGUUGGCUCCCAAGAGUUAUUUACAGCCCUUGGACUUCUGCUUUCACCAUUACUCUGUGUUUCUGAAGCUACCAAGUGAUCAAUUGCAACAGGAGACUGUAACACCCCAAAACUGAUGAGUGGGAUGAAAGAUGUACUUUCCCCAUGGACUCCCUCCCCCAGCCUUUCAUCCCUCAUUCCCCAGCUGCCUUUUCAAGCCAUGCCUUCUCCUGAUCUGCCCCCCCUUCCCAGGCAUGCAUCACCAGCAGCCCUUGACAUUGCCAGCACUUUUGACCCCAUCUCUUGCUCCCUGCAUAACUGGUGGUCUCCUCUCCUCCACAGCAGAAGAACACAGACAAGUAUAUGGUAUGUACAAGUGUCACAUUUCUUCUGGACUACAGCAGCUAAAGUCAGUUUUGGUCUUUGGUUGGAGCCUAUCAUAAUUGCCUUAUUCCUAGUUUAUAGAUGCACCAAAUGAAUACACUACAACAAGAGCGGACACUUCACUUGUUAGCGAGAAGUGCCAUCCAAUUCUACAGCACUUGCAAACAGUGCACAGGAAAAGAAUUAGCAAUUUUGCUCACCAGAAUCUCUCUCUGCGACAACAGAAAGUCAGACAUGCACGAUUUUACAUGGUGUGCAUUGACCUAUGGGACUAGAAAUUUCAUAUGGCUAUUGAAGAUAUUAAUUUAGUCAAACCUUUCUCUGUCAAAGGAUAUUGCAAGUCUUCACUUUUCUGCUAUGCAGCUUGUGAGCAGAAUGCUUUCAGUGAUGGGGUGCCCCUUUGAAAAUCUAAACGAAGCUCAGAGUGACAAGAAUGACAUCUGCUGAAUGUAAUGGUAAGAAGAGAAAAAAAGAAAAUACAUCAGAGCAACAUUUGGAUUUCUUUUCCAUUGCAGGUGGAAGGAAAUGGGACAGAGAGAAAACAAAACAAAACAAAACAAAAAAAACACCUGCAGAAUCAGGAAGUUUAUUGUUGUUGUUGUUGUUGUUGUUUUAAAAAAAAGCUAGUUAAUAUGAUUAAUAAUAUACUUUGUCAAAAAGAAAAAUAAAGGAAAAAAUGCAGAUUGCCGACUGCUUUAG